GGCCAGUUAGCUCAGUUGGUUACAGCGUGGUGUUAUAAAUACCAAGGUCAAGGGUUCGGAUCCCCUUACUGGCUA